rnacentral:rRNA from 1 species
GAUGAACGCUAGCGGCAGGCUUAACACAUGCAAGUCGAGGGGUAAAUGGUAGCAAUACUAUGAGACCGGCGGACGGGUGCGUAACGCGUACAUGACCUACCUUUAAGACUGGGAUAGCCCUGGGAAACUGGGAUUAAUACCGGAUGUGAUAAUACGUAUAGAGAUGUAUUAUUAAAGUUGAGGCGCUUAGAGAUGGAUGUGCGUCUGAUUAGCUAGUUGGUAGGGUAACGGCCUACCAAGGCUACGAUCAGUAGGGGGCGUGAGAGCGUGGCCCCCCACACGGGUACUGAGACACGGACCCGACUCCUACGGGAGGCAGCAGUAAGGAAUAUUGCGCAAUGGGGGCAACCCUGACGCAGCAACGCCGCGUGAGUGAGGAAGGUUUUCGGACCGUAAAGCUCUGUCGAGCGGGAAGAAAUGUAUCAUGGCUAAUAUCCAUGAUACUUGACGGUACCGCUAAAGGAAGCACCGGCUAACUCCGUG